GCGCCCGUAACUCAGCUGGUAGAGUAUUUCCUUUUUAAGGAAAGAGCCGUUGGUUCGAAUCCAACCGGGCGCA
rnacentral:tRNA from 1 species